rnacentral:lncRNA from 1 species
UUUGACCUCAAAUCAUUGCCGGAGCUUUGACCCCAAAUCACUGCUGGAGCUCCGACCCCAGAAUCACCGCUGGAGCUUUGACCCCAAAUCAUUGAUGGAGCUCCCACCCCAAAAUCAUUGCUGGAGCUCCAACCCCAAAUCACUGCUGGAGCUCCGACCCCAAAAUCAUUGCUGGAGCUCCGACCCCAAAUCACUGCUGGAGCUCCGACCCCAAAAUCACUGCUGCAGCUCCCACCCCAAAUCAUUGCCGGAGCUUUGACCUCAAAUCAUUGCUGGAGCUUUGACCCCAAAUCACUGCUGGAGCUCCGACCCCAGAAUCACUGCUGGAGCUUUAACCCCAAAUCACUACUGCAGCUCCCACCCCAAAUCUCUGCUGGAGCUCCCACCCCAAAUCACUGCUGGAGCUCCGACCCCAAAAUCACUGCUGGAGCUCCCACCCCAAAUAUCUGCCACAGCUCCCACCCCAAAUCACUGCCACAGCUCCCACCCCAAAUCACUGCUGGAGCUCCGACCCCAGAAUCACUGCUGGAGCUCCGACCCCAG